AUGAACGCUAGCUACAGGCUUAACACAUGCAAGUCGAGGGGCAGCAUGGUCUUAGCUUGCUAAGGCCGAUGGCGACCGGCGCACGGGUGAGUAACACGUAUCCAACCUGUCGUCUACUCUUGGACAGCCUUCUGAAAGGAAGAUUAAUACAAGAUGGCAUCAUGAGUCCACAUGUUCACAUGAUUAAAGGUAUUCCGGUAGACGAUGGGGAUGCGUUCCAUUAGAUAGUAGGCGGGGUAACGGCCCACCUAGUCUUCGAUGGAUAGGGGUUCUGAGAGGAAGGUCCCCCACAUUGGAACUGAGACACGGUCCAAACUCCUACGGGAGGCAGCAGUGAGGAAUAUUGGUCAAUGGGCGAGAGCCUGAACCAGCCAAGUAGCGUGAAGGAUGACUGCCCUAUGGGUUGUAAACUUCUUUUGUAAAGGAAUAAAGUCGGGUAUGGAUACCCGUUUGCAUGUACUUUAUGAAUAAGGAUCGGCUAACUCCGUGCCAGCAGCCGCGGUAAUACGGAGGAUCCGAGCGUUAUCCGGAUUUAUUGGGUUUAAAGGGAGCGUAGAUGGAUGUUUAAGUCAGUUGUGAAAGUUUGCGGCUCAACCGUAAAAUUGCAGUUGAUACUGGAUAUCUUGAGUGCAGUUGAGGCAGGCGGAAUUCGUGGUGUAGCGGUGAAAUGCUUAGAUAUCACGAAGAACUCCGAUUGCGAAGGCAGCCUGCUAAGCUGCAACUGACAUUGAGGCUCGAAAGUGUGGGUAUCAAACAGGAUUAGAUACCCUGGUAGUCCACACGGUAAACGAUGAAUACUCGCUGUUUGCGAUAUACGGCAAGCGGCCAAGCGAAAGCGUUAAGUAUUCCACCUGGGGAGUACGCCGGCAACGGUGAAACUCAAAGGAAUUGACGGGGGCCCGCACAAGCGGUGGAGUAUGUGGUUUAAUUCGACGCAACGCGAAGAACCUUACCAAGUCUUGACAUCCUGCGACGAUGCUAGAAAUAGUAUUUUCCUUCGGGACGCAGAGACAGGUGGUGCAUGGUUGUCGUCAGCUCGUGUCGUGAGAUGUUGGGUUAAGUCCCGCAACGAGCGCAACCCCUGUUUCUAGUUGCCAGCAUGUAAAGAUGGGAACUCUAGAAAGACUGCCGUAGAUAAUACGGAGGAAGGUGGGGAUGACGUCAAAUCAGCACGGCCCUUACGUCCGGGGCUACACACGUGUUACAAUGGGGGGUACAGAGGGCCGCUACCACGCGAGUGGAUGCCAAUCCCAAAAACCUCUCUCAGUUCGGACUGGAGUCUGCAACCCGACUCCACGAAGCUGGAUUCGCUAGUAAUCGCGCAUCAGCCACGGCGCGGUGAAUACGUUCCCGGGCCUUGUACACACCGCCCGUCAAGCCAUGGGAGCCGGGGGUACCUGAAGUGCGUAACCGCGAGGAGCGCCCUAGGGUAAAACUGGUGACUGGGGCU
rnacentral:rRNA from 1 species